CCUACGGGUGGCAGCAGUGGGGAAUAUUGCGCAAUGGGGGCAAGCCUGACGCAGCAACGCCGCGUGAUUGAAGAAGGCCUUCGGGUUGUAAAGAUCUUUUAUUGGGGACGAAACAACUGACGGUACCCACAGAAUAAGCUCCGGCUAACUACGUGCCAGCAGCCGCGGUAAUACGUAGGGAGCAGGCGUUAUCCGGAUUUACUGGGUGUAAAGGGCGAGUGGGCGGGCUGGCAAGUUGGGAGUGAAAUCCCGGGGCUUAACCCCGGACCUGCCUUCAAAACUGCUGGUCUUGAGUGAUGGAGAGGCAGGCGGAAUGCGGUGUGUAGCGGUGAAAUGCGUAGAUAUACGGAAGAACACCGGUGGCGAAGGCGGCCUGCUGGACAUUAACUGACGCUGAGGAGCGAAAGCGUGGGGAGCAAACAGGAUUAGAUACCCCUGUAGUC
rnacentral:rRNA from 1 species